GAAUAUAGGUAUAAUUGGUGGAGGUUAAGCAGCCAUCUUGGGCGCUAGAAGAGGAAAGCUAGAUGACAUAAAUGAACGCCAGCCCCGGCUCCCUGUGGGGUCUGGAUGCCAAGACCUGGGCCCAGAGACCAUGGAGGCCACUUCAAGGAGGAGGAAGGGGCUCCGAUUCACCCUCGGUCAGCUCAGUUUAGAAGGCCUCCUCUUCCGCGUUAACCACCCUGAAAGUCCCCUCCCAACCUGUCCUUCUUCGCUCCCCCUCACCCACCGUGACAGAGGUCGGGGGACAUA